rnacentral:rRNA from 1 species
UACGUAGGGUGCAAGCGUUGUCCGGAAUUAUUGGGCGUAAAGAGCUCGUAGGCGGUUUGUUGCGUCGGCUGUGAAAUCCCGAGGCUCAACCUCGGGUCUGCAGUCGAUACGAGCAAACUAGAGUGUUGCAGGGGAGACUGGAAUUCCUGGUGUAGCGGUGAAAUGCGUAGAUAUUGGGAGGAACACCAGUGGCGAAGGCGGCUCACUGGACCGGAACUGACGCUGAGGCGCGAAAGCGUGGGGAGCGAACAGG